rnacentral:rRNA from 1 species
GACGAACCGUACGAACGUUAUUCGGAAUUACUGGGCUUAAAGGGUGCGUAGGUGGCGCCGUAAGUCGGGUGUGAAAUUUCGGAGCUUAACUCCGAAACUGCAUUCGAUACUGCGGUGCUUGAGGACUGGAGAGGAGACUGGAAUUCAUGGUGUAGCAGUGAAAUGCGUAGAGAUCAUGAGGAAGACCAGUGGCGAAGGCGGGUCUCUGGACAGUUCCUGACACUGAGGCACGAAGGCCAGGGGAGCAAACGGG